CCGUUGCCGGCGACCGGCGCACGGGUGAGUAACACGUAUGCAACCUGCCCGUGGCAGGGGGAUAAGCGGGGGAAACCCCGUCUAAUACCGCGUAACGCGGCCUAGGGACAUCCCAAGGCCGCCAAAGGGAGCAAUCCCGGCCACGGAUGGGCAUGCGGCGCAUUAGCUAAUCGGCGGGGUAACGGCCCACCGAGGCGACGAUGCGUAGGGGUUCUGAGAGGAAGGCCCCCCACACUGGUACUGAGACACGGACCAGACUCCUACGGAAGGCAGCAG
rnacentral:rRNA from 1 species